rnacentral:rRNA from 1 species
GUAAACCCAAGGUUUCCAGGGGAAGGUUCGUCCGCCCUGGGUUAGUCGGGACCUAAGCUGAGGCCGAAAGGCGUAGGUGAUGGACAACAGGUUGAUAUUCCUGUACUACCGAUAACCGUUUGAGAGAUGGGAUGACACAGUAGGAUAAGCUAAGCACACUGUUGGUUAUGUGUGCCCAAGCAUUGAGGCAGUCAAAGUAGGCAAAUCCGCUUUGAUAAUGCUGGGAUGUGAUGGGGAGCGAAAUUUAGUAGCGAA